UCUGGUGCCAACAGCCGCGGUAAUUCCAGCUCCAAUAGCGUAUAUUAUUAUUGUUGCGGUUAAAAAGCUCGUAGUUGGAUCUCGGUUUCGGGCGAGCGGUGUACCUUGCGGUAUUUACUGUUUGCCCGGACGAUUUUGUUGGUUCGUUUAUGGUUCUCUUAACCGAGUGCCAUAAGUGGCCAGCACGUUUACUUUGAAAAAAUUGGAGUGCUCAAAGCAGGCGCUACAGCCUGAACAUUAGUGCAUGGAAUAAUGGAAUAGGAUCUCGGUUCUAUUUCGUUGGCUUUCGGAGUCGAGGUAAUGAUUAAUAGGGACAGACGGGGGCAUUCGUACUGCGACGUUAGAGGUGAAAUUCUUGGAUCGUCGCAAGACGAACUACUGCGAAAGCAUUUGCCAAGAAUGUUUUCAUUAAUCAAGAACGAAAGUUAGAGGUUCGAAGGCGAUCAGAUACCGCCCUAGUUCUAACCAUAAACGAUGUCGACCGGCGAUCCGUUAUCGUUAACUGAAUGACUUAACGGGCAGCCUCCGGGAAACCAGAGUGUUUGGAUUCCGGGGGAAGUAUGGUUGCAAAGCUGAAACUUAAAAGAAUUGACGGAAGGGCACCACCAGGAGUGGAGCCUGCGGCUUAAUUUGACCCAACACGGGAAAUCUCACCAGGCCCGGACACCGGAAGGAUUGACAGAUUGAGAGCUCUUUCUUGAUUCGGUGGGUGGUGGUGCAUGGCCGUUCUUAGUUGGUGGAGCGAUUUGUCUGGUUAAUUCCGAUAACGAACGAGACUCUGGCCUACUAACUAGACGUUAGAUCCCUUUGUGGGUCUAUCGCAGCUUCUUAGAGGGACGGGCGGCGUUUAGCCGCACGAGAUUGAGCAAUAACAGGUCUGUGAUGCCCUUAGAUGUUCUGGGCUGCACGCGCGCUACACUGAAGGAAUCAGCGUGUGUUCCCUACCCGAAAGGGUUGGGAAACCCGUUGAACCUCCUUCGUGAUGGGGAUUGGGGAUUGCAAUUAUUCCCCAUGAACGAGGAAUUCCCAGUAGGCGCGAGUCAUAAGCUUGCGUCGAUUACGUCCCUGCCCUUUGUACACACCGCCCGUCGCUACUACCGAUCGAGUGAUUUAGUGAGGCCUUCGGACUGGUCUUCAGUAUGGCUUUCGGGUCGUGUUGGAGUACCGGAAAGAUGACCAAACUUGAUCACUUAGAGGAAGUAAAAGUC
rnacentral:rRNA from 1 species